CCUUCUCUACCCACUUAGAGAUAUGAUCAAACAAAAUGGCUCCAAAGUCAAUUUGUUUCUUCAGAACUAUAGCUGACAUUAUCUUCAGUUGUUGAUCAAUCACCGUAUCAUGUGCAGUGUUUUUACACAGUAUGCAUUUUCCUACAAUUUCAGCAAGGAACUCAUACUCUUCAGGGAACUCCUUCUUCUUCAUGUCUUUGAAGCUAGGGUUUCUUUGGUAUUCCAUCAACUCUUUCGCUUGCUCAAUGUUGACAUCUUCAAGGUUUUUCAGCCCUUGGCUAGGGAAACCUAGGCAUUGAUUAAGGUCAGAAGAUUUCAGCUUCAGAAUCUGACCUUUAACCUUGGUAGAUAGAGUUCCAGAGUUUAUGGAGACGUUUGAGUAGAACUACUUAACCAGGUCAAUGUAUACACAAGUACUCGCCUCGAGACAUUCUGAAAACCCAGCUUCCUUUACGAGUCUAAGUAUAUCCCUGAACUUCUUCUCAGAAUUCUCAAACGAUUUGGUUCCAAGCUGAAUGCCGGUGAUAACUUGCUAGUUCUCCAUUUGAAUCGUUCGAAGACUGUGGAUGUUUGAUUUAGAGAGAUUUAUGCGAGAUGGCUGACUGAGAUUUUGUAUUUGCUCUGGAGGGUUAACUGAUUUUGCUCUUGAAAAGCUUUCUAGGGUUUUGAAAAUGGGUGGGAGAAAGGUUCGAUAUCUUUUGGUAACUGUCUGCAGAUUUGAAAUUGUCUUUAUGGCAGUUCCUUCUAACUCUGUAUACUCAGUGAUGUGUCAACUGUCCAUUGGUUGCACGUUGCCCAGUAAUGAGCUGUAACUCCCCACAACUUUUCAGUUAUUUGAAGAGUGGACAUUUAAUUGACGUGGCUUUGACCGUUGACCUUUUGAUUCGUAGAGU
rnacentral:lncRNA from 1 species